AUGAGGACGAGGAGAGGAGGAGGUAGAGGAGGAGGAGGAGGGAGAGGAGGAGGAGGAGGAGGAGGGAGAGGAGGAGGAGGAGGAGGAAGCCACGGUCACUUGGAAGCACCAGCUCCCGCAGAUCUCCAUCGCUGCAGCUUUGCAAGCAGCGCACUCACCCUCCGCGUCCGCCCAUUCUCUACAAGUUGCCUUUUUUUUUUUAAGUGGAGUUUUAGAAGGAAAAAAAGGUACAAGUAAAGAAUCUUUUCAAAUGCAAAUGUUGGUAGUAGGGAACAGGAGAAAAACAACCUUGGGAGACUGGUUCAAUCCUGAGCAGAACUGUUGAGUUCAGAAGGGUCUGACGGUGCAAAGAAGUAUAUUCAAUUGAGUGAGGAAACGAACAACAGGAAGCAUAUAGGCUCAAAUCCAAGGCAAGACAUAUUUCUUGAUAUUGGAAAAAGGGAAAAUGAAGUACAAAGGCUCUCUGCCCUCAACAAUAUUAUAUAAAGGAAGUUAUGUUCUGAAAAGUAGAAUCAAGCUGGUGCCAGGCAGGAAGAGGUAGGUGUGCGUGUUUUGAGAUGUGAAGAAUGGCUGUUAUCCAGAUGGCAGACAGGACGACUGAAGGAGGAAUCAGAAGAAUUCAAGACACGUUCUUCGUUUUGCCAAAGCAGCAGUCUAUCCAAGUUUACUCAAGAUUUAAUACUUUAAAUUUGAGGUGAAACUUUAAUUAUACAUUUGGAAUAUUUGAAAAUUAAGAUUGCCUGUAGUUAUAAAAAGAACAUCUGGAAAGAAAUAUGUAAGAAAAACCAUUACUUGUGCAAAUCCCAUAAGACAAAUUCAAUUUCUAUUUCAAAUUAAUAGCUUAUCUGUUAGUAACAAUUCAGCUC
rnacentral:lncRNA from 1 species